rnacentral:rRNA from 1 species
UCUCCAGACUCCUACGGGAGGCAGCAGUGGGGAAUUUUGGACAAUGGGCGCAAGCCUGAUCCAGCUAUUCCGCGUGUGGGAUGAAGGCCCUCGGGUUGUAAACCACUUUUGUAGAGAACGAAAAGACACCUUUUAAUAAAGGGUGUUGCUAACGGUACUCUAAGAAUAAGCACCGGCUAACUACGUGCCAGCAGCCGCGGUAAUACGUAGGGUGCGAGCGUUAAUCGGAAUUACUGGGCGUAAAGGGUGCGCAGGCGGUUGAGUAAGACAGAUGUGAAAUCCCCGAGCUUAACUCGGGAAUGGCAUAUGUGACUGCUCGACUAGAGUGUGUCAGAGGGAGGUGGAAUUCCACGUGUAGCAGUGAAAUACGUAGAUAUGUGGAAGAACACCGAUGGCGAAGGCAGCCUCCUGGGACAUAACUGACGCUCAGGCACGAAAGCGUGGGGAGCAAACAGGAUUAGAUACCCUUGUA